rnacentral:rRNA from 1 species
GAUGAACGCUAGCGGCAGGCUUAAUACAUGCAAGUCGUGGGGCAGCAUGAGUGUAGCAAUACAUUUGAUGGCGACCGGCAAACGGGUGCGGAACACGUACACAACCUUCCUAUAAGUGGGGAAUAGCCCAGAGAAAUUUGGAUUAAUACCCCGUAACAUAAUGAUGUGGCAUCACAUUAUUAUCAUAGCUUCGGCGCUUAUUGAUGGGUGUGCGGCUGAUUAGAUAGUUGGCGGGGUAACGGCCCACCAAGUCUACGAUCAGUAGCUGAUGUGAGAGCAUGAUCAGCCACACGGGCACUGAGACACGGGCCCGACUCCUACGGGAGGCAGCAGUAAGGAAUAUUGGUCAAUGGACGCAAGUCUGAACCAGCCAUGCCGCGUGAAGGAUUAAGGUCCUCUGGAUUGUAAACUUCUUUUAUCUGGGACGAAAAAAGGCGAUUCUUCGUCACUUGACGGUACCAGAUGAAUAAGCACCGGCUAACUCCGUGCCAGCAGCCGCCGUAAGAC